UGUACAGUCACUGGGGGAUCUUGUUAAAAGUGCAGAUUCUGAUUCAAUAGGUUUGGGGUGAGGCUUGAGAGUCUGCAUUUCUAUCAAGCUCCCACGUGAUGCUGGU
rnacentral:pre_miRNA from 1 species